UGAGGAAUAUUGGUCAAUGGGCGAGAGCCUGAACCAGCCAAGUAGCGUGAAGGAUGAAGGUCCUAUGGAUUGUAAACUUCUUUUAUAGUAGAAUAAAGUGAAUCACGUGUGGUUUUUUGUAUGUAUACUAUGAAUAAGGAUCGGCUAACUCCGUGCCCGCAGCCGAGGUAAUACGGAGGAUCCGAGCGUUAUCCGGAUUUAUUGGGUUUAAAGGGUGCGUAGGCGGAAUAAUAAGUCAGUUGUGAAAGUGUGCGGCUCAACCGUAAAAUUGCAGUUGAUACUGUUAUUCUUGAGUGUACAUAAGGUAGGCGGAAUUCGUGGUGUAGCGGUGAAACGCUUAGAUAUCACGAAGAACUCCAAUUGCGAAGGCAGCUUACCGGGGUACAACUGACGCUGAGGCACGAAAGUGUGGGUAUCAAACA
rnacentral:rRNA from 1 species